GAGCUGGGCACCUGCCUCCAGGCGCCCCCUGAGGCCGGCUGUCACCCACUAAGUUCUCUACUGCUGCCUAUCUCUAGGCUUCUGCUCAACCUGCAGCCCUGAGGUAUCUGCUCAGUUGCUGUCACACACCUGUACUUGAGAGCCUUAUGCUCUGCCUUCUGAGCCAGUAGAGCCCAUCUUUCUUUGCCAUUUGCAAGCAGCUCCUCUCUCUUCUGUGUUCCACUCUUUCCAAAGCACCACAAAAGAAUUGCCUGGGCUCCAAGAGUUUAACAGGUGCUGGAAGAAGAUAGGCACUGCCACCAUGUUGCGAAUGGGAAAACGAAGGAGAAAAAGGACUACCUCAGUACUAUUUAAAAUGGGAACAGGUUCUGUAUUUCCAGAUAUCCAGCUUUUGUCUACAAUAAAGUGUUUCAGAGUAUAACUA